rnacentral:lncRNA from 1 species
AUGUUCUCUUUGAUCUCUGUCUUCUGCUUUCUGAAGAAUUUCCUUUAUUUUUUGUCAUUUGAGUGACCCCAGAUGCUUUUGGAGAAUAAAAGACACCGAAAAUAAUCUAGGAGAAAUAGAAACUAAUUCUCUCUUUUCUAUUUCUACAAAACGUGGUUAUGUGAAGAAUGAAUAUUUCAGUUGUAUUCUAAACAAGUAAGUGAAUCCCAAGACCAGACAUUUGAUAUUCUCUGUUUCUCUUGCUUUGGAAGAAAUAAAUAAGAAUUGCCAUAUUUUAUUCAACAUUUCUCUGGAACUUAAUAUCGAAUGUAUCCCAUUUUUAAAAAGGUGAGAAAACUGGUUUGUUUAUGAAAAGUGAGGAACUUAUUCCUAAUUACGACUGUACAAAUGAUAGAAGUUACUUAAUUGUACUUACAGCACCGUCAUGGGCAGUAUCGACAACCCUUGGACCAUUCCUGUUCGCAUCCAGAAUUCCUGAGGUAAGUCAAGUCAAGAUGGAUUAAUUUUAAGGAAAUACUUUCUCACCACAGUGAGACUUUCUGAGUAUGAAGACUGUUUAAAAGUCAGAGAAAGGCCUUAUAUUUAUUAUGAUCGUUCAAGCAUAUAUAUGGUUUGAGUAUUUUAAUAGAAUCACAAGCUCUAAAGCCAUGUCAAUAAGAAAUUUCACACAUAAGUGUAAAUAGUUCUGUACUCUAUUAUUGCAUAGGUUGCAGAUCAUGUUACUGUCGUGUAAUAUGACACAGUCAACACUGGUUUGCAAAUCAGCAUUCACAAUCUAAGUCAUAUAUUUUUGUACAGAUUUUUAACCACAUAUUUGUUUCAUGUAUUCAUUUUUCUCAUGAAAUUCUUAAAUAGCAAUAAGAAAAUUACGUCUUUUAUGUUAUUUAAAAGUUUGUAAUCAGUUUACUAAAUAGAUCCCAAAGAAUAUCAAGUACUUGUCCAUUCAUUUUACUUACUAAUACUUUCUAUUCCAUUGUCUGUCAUAAAAUAAUGCUACUGGCAGAAAAAAAAAACAAAAAAACAAAAACAAAAACAAAAAAACCCCAGAGAACUUGUCAUUACUCUCUAAUCAAAAAAAUAGGUUUUAAAGCACCAAGUCCAGAAAGAAAAUUGUAUUAGGAAACAAAUUGGAACUAACUUUACAUUCUCAUGAAAUUUAUUUUUGACUUUAGUACUGAGUACUUCUGGUAAAGUUUGAGUUUUGGAAAUGAUAAUAAUAAUUUGAAACUUUCUAAGCAUAAUAAUUUCUAUUCUAAUGUGUAAGCCAGUUGAAACUAAAAUGACAAAUGUGUUUUAGAUGUUCUCUAUUCUGAAGACCUUACAAUUUGUAAAUCCUGCUUGAGACCUAGUCAGCAUGAACCAGAAUUUGAAACAGGAUGUAGAGUAUGACACUUUCUAUAUCAUGGAUUUUUAAAAAAGAUUAUGGACUUAAAAUGAAAAUAGGAAUACUCAGUUAAUCUUCCAAGUGGUCAGCCACUAUAUAUGUCUAAAGAAAUGAUGGAGUAGGCUACAGAUAUUGAUCAG